GGCGAACGCUGGCGGCGUGCUUAACACAUGCAAGUCGAACGGUGAAGCGCCUUCCUUUUUGGUGGGUGUGGAUGAGUGGCGAACGGGUGAGUAACACGUGAGUAACCUGCCCCCUUCUUCUGGAUAACCGCAUGAAAGUGUGGCUAAUACGGGAUAUUCUGGGUCUGUCGCAUGAUGGGUCUGGGAAAGAUAUUGUUUCGGUGGGGGAUGGGCUCGCGGCCUAUCAGCUUGUUGGUGGGGUGAUGGCCUACCAAGGCGGUGACGGGUAGCCGGCCUGAGAGGGUGGACGGUCACACUGGGACUGAGACACGGCCCAGACUCCUACGGGAGGCAGCAGUGGGGAAUAUUGCACAAUGGGCGCAAGCCUGAUGCAGCGACGCCGCGUGAGGGAUGGAGGCCUUCGGGUUGUGAACCUCCUUCGCCAGUGAAGCAGGCCUGCCUCGUUUGUGGGUGGGUUGACGGUAGCUGGAGAAGAAGCGCCGGCUAACUACGUG
rnacentral:rRNA from 1 species